rnacentral:rRNA from 1 species
UACGGAGGGUGCAAACGUUAAUCGGAAUUACUGGGCGUAAAGCGCACGUAGGCGGUCCGCUAAGUGAGGUGUGAAAUCCCCGGGCUCAACCUGGGAAUUGCGCUUCAGACUGGCGGGCUGGAGUACGGUAGAGGGGGGUGGAAUUCCCUGUGUAGCGGUGAAAUGCGUAGAUAUGGGGAGGAACACCAGUGGCGAAGGCGGCCCCCUGGACCGAUACUGACGCUGAGGUGCGAAAGCGUGGGGAGCAAACAGG